rnacentral:rRNA from 1 species
CAAUAGCGUAUAUUAAAGUUGUUGCAGUUAAAAAGCUCGUAGUUGAAUUUUUGCUUGCCGCCGAUGUCGGAACUUCCGUACGUUCGGCGGCGUGCAUCCUUGGGUGGAACCUGUGUGGCAUUAGGUUGUCGUGCAGGGGAUGCUCAUCGUUUACUGUGAAAAAAUUAGAGCGUUCAAAGCAGGCUUAUGCCGUUGAAUAUAUUAGCAUGGAAUAAUAAGAUAGGACCUUGGUACUAUUUUGUUGGUUUGCGCACCGAGGUAAUGAUUAACAGGGACAGUUGGGGGUAUUCGUAUUCCAUUGUCAGAGGUGAAAUUCUUGGAUUUCUGGAAGACGAACUACUGCGAAAGCAUUUACCAAGGAUGUUUUCAUUAA